rnacentral:rRNA from 1 species
GACGAACGCUGGCGGCGUGCUUAACACAUGCAAGUCGAACGGAAAGGCCCAGCUUGCUGGGUGCUCGAGUGGCGAACGGGUGAGUAACACGUGGGUGAUCUGCCCCUAACUUCGGGAUAAGCUGGGGAAACUGGGUCUAAUACCGGAUAGGACAAUCGUUUAGUGUCGGUUGUGGAAAGUUUUUUCGGUUAGGGAUGAGCGCGCGGCCUAUCAGCUUGUUGGUGGGGUAAUGGCCUACCAAGGCGGCGACGGGUAGCCGGCCUGAGAGGGUGGACGGCCACAUUGGGACUGAGAUACGGCCCAGACUCCUACGGGAGGCAGCAGUGGGGAAUAUUGCACAAUGGGCGCAAGCCUGAUGCAGCGACGCCGCGUGGGGGAUGACGGCCUUCGGGUUGUAAACCUCUUUCGACAGGGACGAAGCUUUGGUGACGGUACCUGUAUAAGAAGCACCGGCUAACUACGUG